rnacentral:rRNA from 1 species
GAUGAACGCUGGCGGCGUGCCUAAUACAUGCAAGUCGAGCGAAGCGGGGACGGGUGAGUAACACGUGGAUAACCUCCUAUAAGACUGGGAUAACUUCGGGAAACCGUAGCUAAACCGGAUACUUAUCGAUGGAUCCGUGCUGCAUUAGCUGGUUGGUAAGGUAACGGAGUACAAAGGCAACGAUGCAUAGCGGACCUGAGAGGGUGAUCGGCCACACGGGAACUGAGACACGGUCCAGACUCCUACGGGAGGCAGCAGUAGGGAAUAUUCCGCAAUGGGCGAAAGCCUGACGGAGCAACGCCGCGUGAGUGAUGAAGGUCUUCGGAUCGUAAAACUCUGUUAUGAGGGAAGCGGUACCUGAUCAGAAAGCCACGGCUAACUACGUGCCAGCAGCCGCGGUAAUUC